rnacentral:rRNA from 1 species
GAGACAGCAGCAGCCGCGGUAACACGGAGGGUGCAAGCGUUAAUCGGAAUUACUGGGCGUAAAGCGCACGCAGGCGGUCUGACAAGUCAGAUGUGAAAUCCCCGGGCUUAACCUGGGAACUGCAUUUGAAACUGUCAGGCUGGAGUCUUGUAGAGGGGGGUGGAAUUCCAGGUGUAGCGGUGAAAUGCGUAGAGAUCUGGAGGAAUACCGGUGGCGAAGGCGGCCCCCUGGACAAAGACUGACGCUCAGGUGCGAAAGCGUGGGGAGCAAACAGGAUUAGAUACCCGUGUAGUCCCUGUCUCUUAUAC